ensembl:snRNA U6 U6 spliceosomal RNA
GUACUCACUUUGGUAGCACAUAUACUGAGAUUAGAACGAUACAGAGAAGAUGAGCACGGCCCCUGUGCAAAGAUGACAUUCAAGUUCGUGAAGCAUUCCAUAUUUAA